GUCCCUGUUGGCACAGGCACUGAAUAGGGCAGACUCAUCUGGGAAUGUAUACCCAUCCUGUGUACAGACCUUGAAUGUUUGACCAUAAGAUUACCAUGUUGUGGUCUUGAAUUUUCAAGCCAGUAACCCUUGGAUACCUGAAUUGUUGAGAUGAAGAAACUUUCAGAGUCCUGCUUUCCAGCCUAAAAUAAACUAUGCCUGCCUCAGCCAAGCUAGAGAGGGGAAGAGCAGAAAAGGUCCCCCUCAGAAUCCUCUCAGACCCUGCUUAGCAUCUACUAAGCUCUAGAUGCUGCCCUCUCCCAG